GCCGAUAGAAAUGGAUAGUAAUAAUUCAAUCAUACAAGCUUUUUACACAUUAACCACAAAGCAAUCGAAUCAUGCAAAAAACAUAAGGACAAAAGUGGCUAAAGUCACGGCAACACUUAGAGAACUUAAUCUAAGAAUGGUAUAGAAUGAUAAUUUCUUUGAAGAUCUCUCGUCAUUUGCCAGAAAUCCUCCUGCCUGUCGCAGCCAUGUCGAAAGCUACCUUCCUCUCUAGCAGCUCCCAUGGUGGCACUUGAGAUUCGUGUUAUUCUCGAUACCGAAGAAUUGGGGGUCAGGAAUCUCCAUUGGACGAUCCUCAGCCACAAUUUCUACAUCAAAUAACUAAAUAACAGGAAUAAUAGGUCAAUAAAGUAUCAUUCAAAUAUGAAUUUCCUGUUGUCAGAGAUUGGGAAAAAAUUCAAAGAGAAGUUGAUACAAAAGCAAAUACCUCAGAUUCUGAAAGGGACAACAAAGAGAUGUCGACCCUUGUGAGUGAGAGAAUGGGCUCUCCAUCUUCCUUGGUGAAACCUCUCCAUGGGGGACAUGUUGGAUUGGAGGUUUACUGGUUGAGACCAAGGAAUCUGAAGGAAUUGGAAUAGAUCAGGCGAUACUAGUGAGCCC
rnacentral:lncRNA from 1 species